UACGGGGGGGGGCAAGCGUUGUUCGGAAUUACUGGGCGUAAAGGGCCAGUAGGCGGCCAACUAAGUCCGACGUGAAAUCCCAAGGCUUAACCUUGGAACUGCGUCGGAUACUGGAUGGCUUGAAUUCGGGAGAGGGAUGCAGAAUUCCAGGUGUAGCGGUGAAAUGCGUAGAUAUCUGGAGGAAUACCGGUGGCGAAGGCGGCAUCCUGGACCGACAUUGACGCUGAGUGAGCGAAAGCCAGGGAGCAAACGGG
rnacentral:rRNA from 1 species